rnacentral:rRNA from 1 species
UACGUAGGGUGCAAGCGUUGUCCGGAAUUAUUGGGCGUAAAGAGCUCGUAGGCGGUUUGUUGCGUCGGCUGUGAAAUCCCGAGGCUCAACCUCGGGUCUGCAGUCGAUACGAGCAAACUAGAGUGUUGCAGGGGAGACUGGAAUUCCUGGUGUAGCGGUGAAAUGCGCAGAUAUCAGGAGGAAGACCAGUGGCGAAGGCGGGUCUCUGGACAGUUCCUGACACUGAGACACGAAGGCCAGGGGAGCAAACGGG